GUAGACAAUUAGUAACCAAAAAGAUGUUACCGUACUUUUCGGGUAGUACUAACGAUUGGUAAAAAGUAUAAGUAAUGUUUAAAAGAUUACUCAGGUCAAACGCAUUGAGUUUAGAACUCGAUGAACUAUGUAAGAAAGGUUUCGAGGACGAAACCUCUUUAAGGGGGGGUAGACUUGUAACACCCCGAAAACGGGUUUGGUAAUCAAACCCGGUUAAUACUAAGAGACGGGUUAUAACUCCCGGAAUCCAAUAAGUUAACUAGGAAUAAUAAUAACCUAGUUAGAAGAGAAGUCUUGUAGUGACAUACUAGUGGGUUAAAAACCUUAUAACUAGGAAAAUAUAAAACUUUAUAUUAAAAUUAUAAAGUUUUAAAUAAACAAGGACAAACUAACUAGGACAAAUUAACCCAGUUAGUCUUGAGACUUGUAAAUUACUUACUAGAAGGUUAAAACACCUUAAAUAAAUAACUUAAUGAUAAUGGAGGGACUAAAGGUGUUAAAACUAAAACUAAUAAUAAUAAAAACAAGGUUUAAACACCAAACACACUAAAAGAAGUGUGUCUGGUCGAUCUAAACAUCAGGAGCGAACAGGAGCUUCCCCACCAAACCCUAACUUGUGCAAAUUGAUCAAAUUGGGGCUUCAAAUCAGUUCCAAAUCGAUUUCCAAGCACGAAAUUGUCAUCUCCAUUGAAAGGGGAGUCAUAAGUUUGAUCUCGUCAAGCUAAGUGGGAGCUGGAAAGGAAUGGAUCAAACGGGUCAAGUGCGCAAGGAAAGCUCGAACGGACGCAAACUGUACAUUUUGGAUGCCGGAAGACGAUCAAGCUCAACGAAGAACCGAACACGCAUAAGAUAAAAGCUUCCGCACGUCGUUUCGUCGUAACUUUUAAACGACGAACUCAAUUAUGUUAUGUUGUAUUAUU
rnacentral:lncRNA from 1 species